UUUUUGGUGUUUUUGGUUGGGGGAGUGGGCUCGCGGCCUAUCAGCUUGUUGGUGGGGUGAUGGCCUACCAAGGCGGUGACGGGUAGCCGGCCUGAGAGGGUGGACGGUCACACUGGGACUGAGACACGGCCCAGACUCCUACGGGAGGCAGCAGUGGGGAAUAUUGCACAAUGGGCGCAAGCCUGAUGCAGCGACGCCGCGUGAGGGAUGGAGGCCUUCGGGUUGUGAACCUCUUUCGCCAGUGAAGCAGGCCUGCCUCGUUUGUGGGUGGGUUGACGGUAGCUGGAUAAGAAGCGCCGGCUAACUAC
rnacentral:rRNA from 1 species